rnacentral:lncRNA from 1 species
GCCUCAGUCUCCUGAGCCCACUUCAUGCCCCAUCUGUCUCCCUAGGUAUCCUUUCUCCCCUGUGCCACACUGCAAAAAGUCUGGAGGAAACAGCUCUUCGGGGCAUGCGUGUAUAUACCUAGAAAUGAAAGCAAAGGGAAAACAGAAAAGGAAAGGGUGGACAGACAUGUAUGGAAAUGUUCUCUUUCAAAUUGGAGCAAACUGACACAGAGCAAGUAUGCUGCAUUGGACUGAG